UCAGAAUAUUUUAUAAGAAUAAUAAUAUUCAAUAAUUUUAAUAAAAAUUUAUAUCAGAUCAAGGUGUAGCUUAUAUUUAAGUAAUAAUGGGUUACAAUAAAUUUAUUUAUAUGAAUAAAAUUAUGAAAAAAUUUUUGAAAGUGGAUUUAGUAGUAAAAUUAUAAAGAUUAAUAAUUUGAUUUUAGCUCUAAAAUAUGUACACAUCGCCCGUCGCUUUUAUUAUUAAGGUAAGAUAAGUCGUAACAUAGUAGAUGUACUGGAAAGUGUAUCUAGAAUGA
rnacentral:rRNA from 1 species